AAUCAACGCUGGCGGCGUGCCUCAGACAUGCAAGUCGAACGAUUAAACUUCCCUUCGGGGAAGAUAUAAAGUGGCGCACGGGUGAGUAACACGUAGGUAAUGUACCUUUGGGUGGGGAAUAACUUAGGGAAACUUAAGCUAAUACCGCAUAAUGCAGCGGCUCCUUCGGGAGACAGUUGUUAAAGAUUUAUCGCCUAAAGAGCAGCCUGCGGCAGAUUAGCUAGUUGGUAAGGUAACGGCUUACCAAGGCUACGAUCUGUAUCCGACCUGAGAGGGUGGUCGGACACACUGACACUGAAUAACGGGUCAGACUCCUACGGGAGGCAGCAGUCGGGAAUUUUGGGCAAUGGGCGAAAGCCUGACACAGCAACGCCGCGUGAAGGAUGAAGUCUUUCGGGAUGUAAACUUCGUAAGAAUAGGAAGAAUAAAUGACGGGACGAUUUGUAAGGUCCGGCUAACUACGUG
rnacentral:rRNA from 1 species